CCAAAGAACUUGGGGUACAAAUUCUGGCCAACAACAUUUAGCCUUGUCCAAGCUAGUUUUCAAAGUUCGCUUGAUUAUGUUGUUGAUGGCUUCAACUUGUCCAUUAGACUGGGGAUGAGCUGGGGAGGCAAAACAUAAGUUAAUGUUGAACUUAGAGCAGAACAUCCUGAACUUAUUGUUGUCGAACUGUCGCCCGUUGUUAAUGACUAUCGCAUUGCAUAACGAACCUUGCUCUUCCCCGCAAGCAUUGGGCCGAUCAAAUCAAGUCCCCAUUGGGCGAAGGGCCAAGGGCUGAUCAUAUGAGUGAGCGGCUUGGGAUGAGAGUAAGGAAUAGUUACGUAGCGUUGACACUUAUCACAUGAGCGGGAUAUCCUGAUGACAUCUUGGUGGAAUGUUGGUGAGUAAUAUCUUUGGUGAAAAGCCUUGUGUGCUAGGGAUCGAGAUCCAGCAUGAUCUCCGCAGACUCCUUCAUGUAUUU
rnacentral:lncRNA from 1 species